rnacentral:rRNA from 1 species
GGAGGGCAAGUCUGGUGCCAGCAGCCGCGGUAAUUCCAGCUCCAAUAGCGUAUAUUAAAGUUGUUGCAGUUAAAAAGCUCGUAGUUGAAUUUCGGGAUCAAUUUGUUGGUCGUGCCUCGGUACGUACUGGCAUUAUUGGUUUCUACCUUCUGAAGAACCUUGAUGUCAUUAAUUUGGUGUCUUGGGGAAUCAGGACUGUUACUUUGAAAAAAUUAGAGUGUUUAAAGCAGGC